CGCCUGGAUGUCUGUGUGUGUGUGCUGGAAGUAACGGUUAGCUCAGAUAAGGAGCUGGGAAGUUGUGGUUAGCCUUGAGCGCGAACAGUGGACAAUGUAUACAGGUGCAGAUAUCUCAGACAAUGUUAUAAAACUGUCUGACCCCAGUCUCUGGGGUGAAGGAGCGUAAUCUACACAGCAACAAUGAAGGGACACCAGAAAGCGCAAAGAAGCUGGGACCAGCUUAUGUGCCAACAUCAACGAUAGGCUGGGUGAGUCUAAACCACGCCCAGUCUCUACUCUGACAGGCCGGCUCGGAUGCGGGAACUAUCUCUGUCACGAGUAUAAAAUACUAUCUUUGUCAGAAACAAAUCAGUUCCUUGUCCCACCCUGCGGGGUGGUGCAGUGAGCCCGUAUAUACGAAAAAUGUAUUUGCCAUUUAUUAACUUUUGAAUUAAACAAUUAUUUUAACCAAGUUCAGGUGUACUAUUGUUCCUAUCUCAGUUGAACUUUCGCAACCCUAACACCAGACAGACAGCGGCAGGUGCAAACUGCCAGCCGUCAUAUACAGCAUGGUGUUCAUGUCGUAGGCGUGAACCUAUACAAUGUGGAGAGCUGUGAAAGCCUGUCUGCAGAUGAAGAGGAUCCCAGUGAAUGUCCCAAGAGCCUGUUUGCAGAUGAAGAGGAUCCCAGUGAAUGUCCCAAGAGCCUGUCUGCAGAUGAAGAGGUUCCAGUGAAUGUCCCAAGAGCCUGUUUGCAGAUGAAGAGGUUCCAGUGAAUGUCCCAAGAGCCUGUUUGCAGAUGAAGAGGAUCCCAGUGAAUGUCGCAAGAGCCUGUCUGCAGAUGAAGAGGAUCCCAGUGAAUUUUCCAAGAGCCUGUCUGCAGAUGAAGAGGAUCCCAGUGAAUGUCCCAAGAGCCUGUCUGCAGAUGAAGAGGAUCCCAGUGAAUGUCCCAAGAGCCUGUCUGCAGAUGAAGAGGAUCCCAGUGAAUGUCCCGAGAGCCUGUCUGCAGAUGAAGAGGAUCCCAGUGAAUGUCCCAAGAGCAUGUCUGCAGAUGAAGAGGAUCCCAGUGAAUGUCCCGAGAGCCUGUCUGCAGAUGAAGAGGAUCCCAGUGAAUGCCCCAAGAGCCUGUCUGCAGAUGAAGAGGAUCCCAGUGAAUGUCCCAAGAGCCUGUCUGCAGAUGAAGAGGUCCAAAGUGAAUGUCCCAAGAGCCUGCUGCCACAUCCUUGUAAACCAUGUGUUUUAUGUGUACUUAUGUUAACACAUGUUGUACGUAACAAUACAGUUAAAAGUCACACACAAUGUAGGCUACAAACAUAUUUACAAUCCUUCUCCUGGAGGUAUGCUGGGUGUGCAGGCUUCUGUUCCAGCCCUGCACUAAGACACCUGAUUCAACUUAUACAACCUAAUGAGUUGAUUAAUAAUGUGUAUUAUUGCUGGGCUGGAACAAAAGCCUGCUCACCCAGUAGACCAGGGGGUGGAGUGAGGUUGGCCACCUCUGGAAUUUUUUUUUUUUUGUUCACCUGAAAUUGUGCUUCGGUAAUGAUAGCCUACUUACUAAAAUGUCUAAAAUUUACAAACCAUUUCGAUUAUUUGUACAUUUUGAAAUUAUAUUUUGAUUCAUUCAAUGUUGAUUCAUUGAAGUGAAGUGUUUGAAAUUGAUUAAAUUUUUUAACUUAAAAACAUUAUUCAAAAUGAACCAAUGUCCAUUCAUCACAGAUCACACUUCUGCAAUAAAAAGGUGUGAAGGGGA